rnacentral:tRNA from 1 species
GCGCGGGUGGCGGAAUUGGUAGACGCGAGAGACUUAAAAUCUCUUGUCCAAAAGACGUGCGGGUUCGAUUCCCGCCUCGCGCACCA